rnacentral:rRNA from 1 species
AGAGUUUGAUCCUGGCUCAGGAUGAACGCUGGCGGCAUGCCUAAUACAUGCAAGUCGAACGAGAGACCUUCGGGUCUCUAGUGGCGAACGGGUGAGUAACACGUAGGGAACCUGCCCGUGCACCGGGAAUACGCUCUGGAAACGGAGAACAAAUCCCGAUGUACAGGAAGGAGGCAUCUUCUUUCUGUGAAACAUCCUUUAGGGGAUGGGGCGCGGAUGGACCUGCGGUGCAUUAGUUGGUUGGCGGGGUAAAGGCCCACCAAGACGAUGAUGCAUAGCCGGCCUGAGAGGGCGGACGGCCACAUUGGGACUGAGACACGGCCCAGACUCCUGCGGGAGGCAGCAGUAGGGAAUUUUCGUCAAUGGGCGCAAGCCUGAACGAGCGAUGCCGCGUGAGUGAAGAAGGCCUUCGGGUCGUAAAGCUCUGUUGCGGGGGAAAAAAGGCAGCAUCAGGAAAUGGGUGCUGACUGAUGGUGCCCCGCCAGAAAGUCACGGCUAACUACGUGCCAGCAGCCGCGGUAAUACGUAGGUGGCGAGCGUUAUCCGGAAUGAUUGGGCGUAAAGGGUGCGCAGGCGGUCCUGCAAGUCUGGAGUGAAACGCAUGAGCUCAACUCAUGCAUGGCUUUGGAAACUGGAGGACUGGAGAGCAGGAGAGGGCGGUGGAACUCCAUGUGUAGCGGUAAAAUGCGUAGAUAUAUGGAAGAACACCAGUGGCGAAGGCGGCCGCCUGGCCUGUUGCUGACGCUGAGGCACGAAAGCGUGGGGAGCAAAUAGGAUUAGAUACCCUAGUAGUCCACGCCGUAAACGAUGAGGACCAAGUGUGGGGGGGGAAACCUCAGUGCUGAAGUUAACGCAGUGAGUCCUCCGCCUGGGGAGUAUGCACGCAAGUGUGAAACUCAAAGGAAUUGACGGGGACCCGCACAAGCGGUGGAGCAUGUGGUUUAAUUCGAAGCGACGCGAAGAACCUUACCCGGCCUUGACAUCCCCACGGAUGCAGGGCAAUGCCUGCAGCCCCUCGGGGCGUGGGAGACAGGUGGUGCAUGGUUGUCGUCAGCUCGUGUCGUGAGAUGUUGGGUCAAGUCCCGCAACGAGCGCAACCCUUGUGGCAUGUUGCUAACAGGAAAAGCUGAGGACUCAUGCCAGACUGCCGGUGACAAACCGGAGGAAGGCGGGGAUGACGUCAAAUUAUCAUGCCCCUUAUGGCCUGGGCUACACACGUACUACAAUGGCGGCUACAAAGAGCAGCGAGACAGGGAUGUCGAGCGAAUCUCAUAAAAGCCGUCCCAGUUCGGAUUGGAGGCUGCAACCCGCCUCCAUGAAGUUGGAAUCGCUAGUAAUCGCGGAUCAGCAUGCCGCGGUGAAUACGUUCCCGGGCCUUGCACACACCGCCCGUCA